UACGAAGGGGGCUAGCGUUGUUCGGAAUUACUGGGCGUAAAGGGCGCGUAGGUGGCGACCCAAGUCGAUGGUGAAAGCUCGCCGCUCAACGGCGAGUCGGCCACUGAUACUGGGUUGCUCGAGCACUGUAGAGGCUAAUGGAAUUCCGGGUGUAGCGGUGGAAUGCGUAGAGAUCCGGAAGAACACCGGUGGCGAAGGCGGUUAGCUGGGCAGUUGCUGACACUGAGGCGCGACAGCGUGGGGAGCAAACAGG
rnacentral:rRNA from 1 species